GUACUGCUGAGGAGUUCCACAAUAGGACGAGACGGCCGUCCAGUUC
rfam:Schistosoma mansoni strain Puerto Rico chromosome 1, complete genome